rnacentral:rRNA from 1 species
AUUGAACGCUGGCGGCAUGCCUUACACAUGCAAGUCGAACGGUAACAGGUCUUCGGAUGCUGACGAGUGGCGAACGGGUGAGUAAUACAUCGGAACGUGCCUAGUAGUGGGGGAUAACUACUCGAAAGAGUGGCUAAUACCGCAUGAGAUCUACGGAUGAAAGCAGGGGAUCGCAAGACCUUGUGCUACUAGAGCGGCCGAUGGCAGAUUAGGUAGUUGGUGGGAUAAAAGCUUACCAAGCCGACGAUCUGUAGCUGGUCUGAGAGGACGAUCAUCAAACCUGGGACUGAGACACGGGCCAGACUCCUACGGGAGGCAGCAGUGGGGAAUUUUGGACAAUGGGCGAAAGCCUGAUCCAGCAAUGCCGCGUGCAGGAUGAAGGCCUUCGGGUUGUAAACUGCUUUUGUACGGAACGAAAAGCCCCGGGUUAAUACCCUGGGGUCAUGACGGUACCGUAAGAAUAAGCACCGGCUAACUACGUGCCAGCCACCGCCGUAA